rnacentral:rRNA from 1 species
UACGGAGGGGGUUAGCGUUGUUCGGAAUUACUGGGCGUAAAGCGUACGUAGGCGGAUUGGAAAGUAUGGGGUGAAAUCCCAGGGCUCAACCCUGGAACUGCCCUGUAAACUAUCAGUCUAGAGUUCGAGAGAGGUGAGUGGAAUUCCAAGUGUAGAGGUGAAAUUCGUAGAUAUUUGGAGGAACACCAGUGGCGAAGGCGGCUCACUGGCUCGAUACUGACGCUGAGGUACGAAAGUGUGGGGAGCAAACAGG